rnacentral:rRNA from 1 species
UACGGGGGGAGCAAGCGUUGUUCGGAUUUACUGGGCGUAAAGGGCGCGUAGGCGGCGUGACAAGUCACUUGUGAAAUCUCCGGGCUUAACUCGGAAAGGUCAACUGAUACUGUGCGACUAGAGUGCGGAAGGGGCAACUGGAAUUCUUGGUGUAGCGGUGAAAUGCGUAGAUAUCAAGAGGAACACCUGCGGCGAAGGCGGGUUGCUGGGCCGACACUGACGCUGAGGCGCGAAAGCUAGGGGAGCGAACGGG